AGAUGUGCCCAGAUGGGAUUAGCUAGUAGGUGGGGUAAUGGCUCACCUAGGCGACGAUCCCUAGCUGGUCUGAGAGGAUGACCAGCCACACUGGAACUGAGACACGGUCCAGACUCCUACGGGAGGCAGCAGUGGGGAAUAUUGCACAAUGGGCGCAAGCCUGAUGCAGCCAUGCCGCGUGUGUGAAGAAGGCCUUCGGGUUGUAAAGCACUUUCAGCGAGGAGGAAGGUGGUGAACUUAAUACGUUCAUCAAUUGACGUUACUCGCAGAAGAAGCACCGGGCUAACUCCGUGCCAGCAGCCGCGGUAAUACGGAGGGGUGCAAGCGUUUAAUCGGAAUUUACUGGGCGUAAAGCGCACGCAGGCGGUUUUGUUAAGUCAGAUGUGAAAUCCCCGGGCUCAACCUGGGAACUGCAUUUGAAACUGGCAAGCUAGAGUCUCGUAGAGGGGGGUAGAAUUCCAGGUGUAGCGGUGAAAUGCGUAGAGAUCUGGAGGAAUACCGGUGGCGAAGGCGGCCCCCUGGACGAAGACUGACGCUCAGGUGCGAAAGCGUGGGGAGCAAACAGGAUUAGAUACCCUGGUAGUCCACGCUGUAAACGAUGUCGAUUUGGAGGUUGUGCCCUUGAGGCGUGGCUUCCGGAGCUAACGCGUUAAAUCGACCGCCUGGGGAGUACGGCCGCAAGGUUAAAACUCAAAUGAAUUGACGGGGGCCCGCACAAGCGGUGGAGCAUGUGGUUUAAUUCGAUGCAACGCGAAGAACCUUACCUACUCUUGACAUCCAGAGAACUUUCCAGAGAUGGAUUGGUGCCUUCGGGAACUCUGAGACAGGUGCUGCAUGGCUGUCGUCAGCUCGUGUUGUGAAAUGUUGGGUUAAGUCCCGCAACGAGCGCAACCCUUAUCCUUUGUUGCCAGCGGUUCGGCCGGGAACUCAAAGGAGACUGCCAGUGAUAAACUGGAGGAAGGUGGGGAUGACGUCAAGUCAUCAUGGCCCUUACGAGUAGGGCUACACACGUGCUACAAUGGCGUAUACAAAGAGAAGCGACCUCGCGAGAGCAAGCGGACCUCAUAAAGUACGUCGUAGUCCGGAUUGGAGUCUGCAACUCGACUCCAUGAAGUCGGAAUCGCUAGUAAUCGUAGAUCAGAAUGCUACGGUGAAUACGUUCCCGGGCCUUGUACACACCGCCCGUCACACCAUGGGAGUGGGUUGCAAAAGAAGUAGGUAG
rnacentral:rRNA from 1 species